UCAAACUUGGUCAUUUAGAGGAAGUAAAAGUCGUAACAAGGUUUCCGUAGGUGAACCUUCGGAAGGAUCAUUACUGUGACGAACGGCAGGUGCCCACCCGCGCCUGCCCGACGUUUUAUCACCCUUGACUUUGAGCACCUUCGUUUCCUCGGCGGGUCCGCCCGCCAGCGAGGACCCCUUGAACUCUUUGCAGUAGCAGUAUUUGUCUGAAAACAAACCAAUAAUCAAAACUUUCAACAAUGGAUCUCUUGGUUCUGGCAUCGAUGAAGAACGCAGC
rnacentral:misc_RNA from 1 species